rnacentral:rRNA from 1 species
AGAGUUCGAUCAUGGCUCAGGAUGAACGCUGGCGGCGUGCCUAACACAUGCAAGUCGAACGAAGCACUUAAGCGGAUUUCUUCGGAUUGAAACUUUUGUGACUGAGUGGCGGACGGGUGAGUAACGCGUGGGUAACCUGCCUCAUACAGGGGGAUAACAGUUAGAAAUGACUGCUAAUACCGCAUAAGCGCACAGUACCGCAUGGUACAGUGUGAAAAGCCGAGACGGUAUGAGAUGGACCCGCGUCUGAUUAGCUGGUUGGUGGGGUAACGGCCCACCAAGGCGACGAUCAGUAGCCGACCUGAGAGGGUGACCGGCCACAUUGGGACUGAGACACGGCCCAA